rnacentral:rRNA from 1 species
UGAGGAAUAUUGGUCAAUGGACGAGAGUCUGAACCAGCCAAGUCGCGUGAAGGAAGACGGAUCUAUGGUUUGUAAACUUCUUUAGUGCGGGAACAAAGCGGCGUCGUGACGCCGGAUGAGUGUACCGCAAGAAUAAGCAUCGGCUAACUCCGUGCCAGCAGCCGCGGUAAUACGGAGGAUGCGAGCGUUAUCCGGAUUUAUUGGGUUUAAAGGGAGCGCAGGCUGCGAGGCAAGUCAGCGGUCAAAUGUCGGGGCUCAACCCCGGCCUGCCGUUGAAACUGUCCUGCUAGAGUUCGAGUGAGGUAUGCGGAAUGCGUUGUGUAGCGGUGAAAUGCAUAGAUAUGACGCAGAACUCCGAUUGCGAAGGCAGCAUACCAACUCGCGACUGACGCUGAGGCUCGAAAGCGUGGGUAUCGAACAGG